CCUACGGGAGGCAGCAGUGGGGAAUAUUGGACAAUGGGCGAAAGCCUGAUCCAGCAAUUCCGCGUGUGUGAAGAAGGCCUUCGGGUUGUAAAGCACUUUAGUGGGGGAAGAAACAGCUUGGCCACACCAAGCCUUGACGGUACCCCAAGAAUAAGCACCGGCUAACUCUGUGCCAGCAGCCGCGGUAAUACAGAGGGUGCAAGCGUUAAUCGGAUUUACUGGGCGUAAAGGGUGCGUAGGUGGCUAUUUAAGUCGGAUGUGAAAGCCCGGGGCUCAACCUCGGAAUUGCAUUCGAUACUGAGUGGCUAGAGUUCGGUAGAGGGCGGCGGAAUUUCCGGUGUAGCGGUGAAAUGCGUAGAUAUCGGAAGGAACAUCAAUGGCGAAGGCAGCCGCCUGGGCCUGGACUGACACUGAGGCACGAAAGCGUGGGUAGCAAACAGGAUUAGAUACCCUGGUAGUCCACGCCGUAAACCGAUGAGAACUUGACGUUGGUUCGUUUUACGAAUCGGUGUCGCAGCUAACGCGAUAAGUUCUCCGCCUGGGGAGUACGGCCGCAAGGUUGAAACUUAAAGGAAUUGACGG
rnacentral:rRNA from 1 species